rnacentral:siRNA from 1 species
CUCUGAGAGGCAUCAGGCUCC